AGUGAACGCUGGCGGUAGGCCUAACACAUGCAAGUCGAACGGCAGCACAGUAAGAGCUUGCUCUUACGGGUGGCGAGUGGCGGACGGGUGAGGAAUACAUCGGAAUCUACUUUUUCGUGGGGGAUAACGUAGGGAAACUUACGCUAAUACCGCAUACGACCUACGGGUGAAAGCAGGGGAUCUUCGGACCUUGCGCGAUUGAAUGAGCCGAUGUCGGAUUAGCUAGUUGGUGGGGUAAAGGCCCACCAAGGCGACGAUCCGUAGCUGGUCUGAGAGGAUGAUCAGCCACACUGGAACUGAGACACGGUCCAGACUCCUACGGGAGGCAGCAGUGGGGAAUAUUGGACAAUGGGCGCAAGCCUGAUCCAGCCAUACCGCGUGGGUGAAGAAGGCCGUCGGGUUGUAAAGCCCUUUUGUUGGGAAAGAAAAGCAGCAGGUUAAUACCCCGCUGUUCUGACGGUACCCAAAGAAUAAGCACCGGCUAACUUCGUG
rnacentral:rRNA from 1 species